GUGGCGUUCGGUGGUAUGGUGUGGGGUGGGGUGGGGAGGAGGGCGAGCUCGGCGGUGACGCGGGGCCCUCACGUGACCGGGAGCUGCAGAACGACGCAGCCUUCGGUGCAGUCGUCACUCGCGUCUGGGUACCAGGUCCCCGCUGCCCUGCGCGCGGCGGGCUGGCAUCGGGCCCCGGAGAGCGGAGCAGGUUUUCUCCUAGGCCCACGGGAGGGCUGUUUGCCACUGGAUGCAAGGGAAAGGGGGAGACUGAACCGGAGCCAUGGAGAUCGGCCUGCAGGCCUUCUGCAGGGUUUGAGAUCACUGGAAGCAAAGCAAUAAGGAGGAAAUUGCCCUUGAUCAGUAUAGACUGGUGCACAGAUCCCAUGAGUUCAUAGAUCCACUUUAGGGUGUGUCACCAAUCAAGAGAAGGAAAGAGGCGGGAACUGCCUUGGACCGUUACAGGUGUUGAUCCCAAGAGCAUUCCCUAAAAAAAAGCCCUUCCUGUUGACCUCUGUCUGAGUCUGCUCUCCAGGAAGCCAGCUACAAGAGUUGGUACAAGAAGUGGUUCAGGAAGGCACACACUGUGAUGAAAUUUUGGAGAUGGAUCACCUGCUUCCUGUCUGGCAAUGAGGACCCCACCAUUGGUGGUAGGUGCAGUGGAUAGACAGGUAGCAAAAGAAUUGUAAGGCCUUACUGGGAUGGCAUAUUGGUGAAAGGGAAUGUAUUAACUGGUGGCAUGUAACAGACAUGUGAAGGAUAUGUGGGAAAUAUUAAAUAUAAGGAAAGUCAGUGUACUGUGUCUAUUACUAACCUUUAUUCACCUCUACAAGCAAAUAAUUAAAAGCUGGAUUAAAUUGAUCAACAAUUAGAAGUUAUGUAUGGGGCUUCCCCAGGGGUUAAGUCUCAGUGCUAGCUCAGCCAUAGCC